rnacentral:rRNA from 1 species
AUUGAACGCUGGCGGCAGGCUUAACACAUGCAAGUCGAGCGGGGGAAGGUAGCUUGCUACCGGACCUAGCGGCGGACGGGUGAGUAAUGCUUAGGAAUCUGCCUAUUAGUGGGGGACAACAUCUCGCGAGGGAUGCUAAUACCGCAUACGUCCUACGGGAGAAAGCAGGGGAUCUUCGGACCUUGCGCUAAUAGAUGAGCCUAAGUCGGAUUAGCUAGUUGGUGGGGUAAAGGCCUACCAAGGCGACGAUCUGUAGCGGGUCUGAGAGGAUGAUCCGCAAAACAUGGUCGGAGACACGGCCCAGACUCAUACGGGUGGCAGGAGUGGGGAAUAUUGGACAAUCGGGGGAACCCUGAUCCAGCCAUGCCGCGUGUGUGAAGAAGGCCUUAUGGUUGUAAGCACUUUAAGCGAGGAGGAGGCUACUUUAGUUAAUACCUAGAGAUAGUGGACGUUACUCGCAGAAUAAGCACCGGCUAACUCUGUGCCAGCCGCCGCCGUAA